CCAGAGCAACCGCUCAUUGGCCAGACCAGAGUUCUUCAGCCUGUUCGGUAUAAAAAGUCAGCCUUCUUCAUAUCAACUGAGAACCUGUGCAGGUUUAGCUGUAACAGCUGGAAGACGCGCUGAAGGAUUCAUGAUCGAAUCCAUAGAUGGCAAAGUGGCACUUCCUCUUCCACCACUUAUUGAGUGUAGUGACAUCCCAAAUAAUCGCACAGAGAUUCCAACUCCAAAUGCUGUGAUUCAUCAGCCCCAUCUACAACAUAUUGCUAAACAUCUCCCAGAACUUGACUCGAAUGCAGAGAUCUUACUUCUUCUGGGUAGAGAUGUAUUAAGACUACACAAAGUAAGACAGCAGGUAAACGGGCCACACAAUGCACCGUUUGCACAACGUUUGGACCUUGGCUGGGUAGUAAUAGGAGAAGUGUGCCUAGGAAACAUUCAUAAGCCAAUCAUCAGCAACUUCAAGACCACCGUGCUGGAAAGUGGCCGUCACUCCAUCUUCCGGCCAUGCACAAGUUACAUGCAGAUAAAGGAAUCAUUACCCAACCUCAACCAAGCCCCUAAGAUAACAGAGGAAACACUAGGAAAAACAGUGUUCAACAGAACUGAUCAAGACAACAGACCUGCUCCAUCAAUCGAAAAUGCAAUGUUUAUGGAAAAGAUGGAUACUGAAGUCUACCGAAACAGUAAGAAUACCUGGGUAGCACCACUUCCGUUUAAGGAGCCACGAUCGCACCUUCCUAACAAUAAAGAGCAGGCUGUUAAGAGAUUCAUGUCACUGCAGAAAAUGCUCAAACGGAACCCAGUAAUGCAGAAACAGUACUUUGCAUUCAUGGACAAAAUCUUUCAAAAUGGACAUGCUGAAGUAGCACCACCACUAAGAGACAAUGAGGAAUGCUGGUUCCUUCCUACAUUUGGAGUGUAUCAUCCUCGGAAGCCCGACCAGAUUAGGGUGGUGUUUGAUUCAAGCUCACAAUACCAAGGAAUCUCCCUAAAUGAUGUAUUACUGACUGGCCC
rnacentral:lncRNA from 1 species